UACGAAGGGGGCGAGCGUUGUCCGGAGUACUGGGCGUAAAGCGCACGCAGGCGGUCUGCUAAGUUUGGAGUGACAGUUGGUGGCUUAACUGCCAAAGUGCUUCGAAAACUGACAGACUUGAGGGCUUCAGAGGGACACGGAAUUCCGGGUGGAGUGGUGAAAUGCGUAGAGAUCCGGAGGAACACCAAAGGCGAAGGCAGCUCGCUGGGACGUGACUGACGCUGAGACGCGAAAGCGUGGGGAGCAAACAGG
rnacentral:rRNA from 1 species